rnacentral:rRNA from 1 species
UGGACGAAAGUCUGACGCAGCAACGCCGUGUGAGGGAUGAAGCAUUUCGGUGUGUAAACCUCUGUCGUUGGUGACUAAAGUUUUCAGGAGUGGAAAGCCUGGAGAUUGAAUGUAGCCAAGAAGGAAGCACUGGCUAACUCUGUGCCAGCAGCCGCGGUAAUACAGGGAGUGCAAGCGUUGUUCGGAAUUACUGGGCGUAAAGGGAGCGUAGGCGGAGCUACAAGUCAGGGGUUAAAGAUCCGGGCUCAACCUGGAAAGUGCCUUUGAGACUGUAGUUCUUGAGUAUGGCAGAGGCUAGCGGAAUUACCGGUGUAGCGGUGGAAUGCGUAGAUAUCGGUAAGAACACCAGAGGCGAAGGCGGCUAGCUGGGCCAAUACUGACGCUGAGGCUCGAAAGUGUGGGGAGCAAACAGGAUUAGAUACCCUGGUAGUCCACACCGUAAACUAUGAACACUAGAUGUCGGGGAGUUGAUUUCCCGGUGUCGGCGCUAACGCAAUAAGUGUUCCGCCUGGGGAGUACGCUCGCAAGGGUG